UCAUUUAGGCAGGUUGCCUUUGUGUUCUUGGGCACAGGGAUUAUGGUGUUCUGCUUGAAACAUGUUGACAACACCAGUUGAUGAUUGGUUCAGCUCAGAUAACUGUUGACUGGAGGAAAUAAUUACUAAUAAUUGUACCACCUCUAUCAAAUGAUAAUGUCUUCAUAGGCAUACUAUUGAAUUAAUUAAUAAAUGACUUAUUCAAACAACCAAUGAAAUAUGUUAAUUGCUCUCAAGUAGAAGAUGGAAGAAAAUAUAUGAAAAGAGAUAUUAAGACAGGAUAUGAUGAAACAACUAGAGAACAAAGACACACAACUGGAUGAUAUGACCCAGGAAGUGAGAGAGAAAGAGAGACUCCUGGAAGAGAAGAACCAGAUAAUUGGACAGAAGGAGAAACUAUUAGAAGAGAAAGAAAACCAACUGGAAGAGAAAGACAAGCAACUAAAGGAUAGAGACAUUCAACAAGAGACACUGAGAAAGAACCUGCAGGACAAGAACAGCCAAGUAGAGAACUUCAGAGUCCUACUGCAGGAAAAAGACCUUCAACUAGAGGACAGGAACCACAGACUUGGAGAGAAGGACAGACUACUGGAAGAGAGAGACAAACUACUGGAAGAGAGAGAGAAAGAGAGACUCCUGGAGGAAAAGAACCAGAUAAUGGAACAGAGGGAGAAACUAUUAGAAGAGAAAGAAAACCAACUGGAUGAUAUGACCCAGGAAGUGAGAAAGUACUGGAGGGAAAAGCAAAUGGACUAAAGAAGAGGAGUCAGGAAGUAGAAGAGAAAGAUAACCUACUAGAGGAGAGAGAGAAGCAGUUAAAAAGAAUAUGAACUAAAUGUAUUUGUAGUUUCUUUAUACUAUGUUUUAAUUGUGUCUCUGAUGAGUCAGUAUGUUGACCAGUUCUCUAUGUUGUGUUACAGUGGGAGGAGAGACCUCAGAUACACACCCCACACUUCCACUGAGGAGGAGAAACAGCAUGGAGUUACCUCCUCCACUUAUGGGAGGAGAGAGCAGCAGUCCAGACUCCCCAGUGUCUCCCAAAUAACAGAACUGGAGAGACGGGUGAAAGAAGAGAGGGAUGAGGAGA